AGCUAAUAGAUACCCAGGUAGUCCCAGCAGUAAACGGUGCGCGUUUGGUGUGAGCAGAUUCGACUCCGUUCGCGCCGGAGCUAACGCGUUAAACGCGCCGCCUGGGAAGUACGAUCGCAAGAUUAAAACUCAAAGAAAUUGACGGGGGCCCGCACAAGCGGUGGAGUAUGUGGCUUAAUUCGAUGCAACGCGAAGAACCUUACCUGGGUUUGACAUGCAUCUCUAAGGAGGUGAAAGCUUCCGAGGGUAGCAAUACCCGAUUUGCACAGGUGCUGCAUGGCUGUCGUCAGCUCGUGUCGUGAGAUGUUGGGUUUAAGUCCCGCAACGAGCGCAACCCUUGUAUGCUGUUGCUAUGCUUACGCAUAGCUCUCUGCGUAGACUGCCCCGUGAAACGGGGAGGAAGGUGGGGAUGACGUCAAGUCAGCAUGGCCCUUACACCCAGGGCUGCACACGUACUACAAUGCUCAGUACAAUUAGAACCUG
rnacentral:rRNA from 1 species